rnacentral:tRNA from 1 species
GGACCCUUGGUUCAGUGGUAGAGCGUGUUUAGGACCUAAGAUGUGAGGAGUGCUAUUCGGCUUUGUUGAGGACGACACCAGGCGGAGUCAUCUCCCCCUGGCGUCGCCCUCAACAAUACCGAAUGCCGCCCCUCACAUCGUCCAAGUGAACAAGAUCCCCGGUUCAAUCCCGGGAGGGUCCA